GAAGAUGAAGGACUUGGAGAGGGAAAAGGACCUUUUGUGGAUUGGAUUGCAGGCUUUAGAGCAGGUGCGAGAGAAAUUAUGCUACAACCCAGAAGACCACAUGGAAGUGCAAGACCAAUUCAAGAAAGGAGAGAUGAGAAAAGUGUUUCCAGACACCUCCACCCUACUGUUGGCUCAGAUCCACAGAGUGAACAGGACCUUGAGGAAUCUACUGUGACUCCAGGAAUCCCACUGAUCCUGCAAUAGAAGGUACUGAAGGAGAUCAGCCCUCUCCUACCCAUUCAGAAGAAAGUGCUAGUUUUUAAUCAGCUAUUUGUUUUGAAUUUCUAUAUUGCAUUCUCCUGUAUUUUGUGCUUGCUGAAUGUAUUCUGAGUAGAUUGAAAUGAUCAUUUUCUGUGCGAUAAAUGAAAAUAGCUUACUUGAUUGGAUUUCCAAAACAUGGCAUACAACUCGCACACUGCUUUGUAUGUUUUAUUCAAGAAUUCGGUGCAAUCGACUUGGCCUUCAAUUUCCAUUGUCCUUCCAGGAAUGAAUAUACUAAAGGUUUAUUAACUGCGUUCUGCCAUUUAGUUUCUGAU